rnacentral:lncRNA from 1 species
UUCAUUACCAAUCAUAAGUCAUCAACAUCAGCUUACAAUAAACCAUUAUCAUCAAACAGAACACACCUACUAAUAUCAAUGUUCCGUAAUGAGGAAUAAAUAAUGUGCAGUUUCUAACAUAAUUAUGACUACGAAAAUCAAUGAGUUUAUAGUUAAUCAGAUUCAUAAAUAAGCCUUAUAACAAAACUCCAUAACCAAAAUGACCAAAUUUAAGAUUUUGUAACCAAAUUUAAGAUUUUUAUGCUUAGGACAAAACAAUACACAAGCACAAACAACUAGGCUAUAAAGUAAUGACCUAUACACAUGAUGAUUUGUUAAAUUAUUAGUACUAUAUCUAUUUCAUUUAUUGAGUUUUUGUCUUGCUAACUAACACCCAUAAUUUCCGGAAGGGGUAAAUAUGUCAUUUUCAAAAGUUCCAAAACUUUAUGAAAUAAUCAAAGUGAUGUUAUAAUGAUCAGAGUAACUAAAAAUGAUGAUUAGAUCCAGUAGAAAACUUACCGCAACUACCCUGAUCUUUGACCUCAGCCACGGCUCCUUUCUUCCUCCAGUCAAUAGACUCCGGUAGCUCAUCACCGACACGAGCCUCGUAGCGUUGGCUAGUCCUUCUCUCACCUUUCUUCUCCAUCUUAGCUCCAAGGUACUUGGAUCUAUACUCAUCGUUAGUAAGAUCCGCAAACCGAGUCAAACCCAAUCUAUAACUAAGAUUCUUCUUGUUAUGAUCGUCGAUGAAACGAAGAUUGUCUUUAAAGAUCUCGAAACGUCGAUCUUUCUCAACAAGAGAGUUCUGAUUCUGAGCCUUGCCGUGUUUCACCAACCACGCCUCGUAGAUACUCA